CAGCGGCAAUUUUUUUCCCUGUAUUUUGGGAUACUUUUUGCAGAACAAAACUCUGAGAUGUAUCCCAUCAACUGUAGUUGAGUUCUGGAGAUGGGAAAAGACGCUUUGCCGACGCUUUGCCAGCCAUUGAAUAGGUCUCAGUAGCUGUGCUCUCUUCUUGCGCCAGAACCAAAUCGCAGCAUUGUAUUGUUCAUUUCGUAUUUUUCUUGUUGCUGCCUUCCAGUC
rnacentral:misc_RNA from 1 species